UACGUAGGGUGCAAGCGUUGUCCGGAAUUAUUGGGCGUAAAGAGCUCGUAGGCGGUUUGUUGCGUCGGCUGUGAAAUCCCGAGGCUCAACCUCGGGUCUGCAGUCGAUACGAGCAAACUAGAGUGUUGCAGGGGAGACUGGAAUUCCUGGUGUAGCGGUGAAAUGCGCAGAUAUCAGGAGGAACACCAAUGGCGAAGGCAGCACUCUGGGACGUGAC
rnacentral:rRNA from 1 species